ACACGCCUACACACACACACACACACACACACACACACACACACACACACACACACACACACACACACACACACACACACACACACACACACACACACACACACACACACACACACACACACACACACACACACACACACACACACACACACACACACACAAACACACGCACAUACACGCCUACACACACACACACACACACACACACACUAAUGGGAUUGAAUUUGGAUCUGAAAUGGCUGCGAGCUGAAAUCAAAUGUUGUCUCACAGACCUUACAGAAUUACCCACCACAACAGGACCAAGCAGAGGAGGAAUACUGGCGAGGACUGGGGAACACAGCGGGUAAGGGAACCCGAGAGGCAGCCCCAAUAAUUUUUUUUGGGGGGGGCACAAGGGCUGUUUGACGGGGCGAGGAUGGAGCCACAGGCCAGCUCCCCGUACCCUGUUUAGGCUGAAACAGACUGGACAGGUCCCGUGCUUUGGGGU
rnacentral:lncRNA from 1 species